rnacentral:rRNA from 1 species
CCCUUAGAGUUUGAUCCUGGCUCAGAGCGAACGCUGGCGGCAGGCCUAACACAUGCAAGUCGAGCGCCCAGCAAUGGGAGCGGCAGACGGGAUAGUAACACGUGGGAACGUACCCUUCAGUUCGGAACAACCCAGGGAAGCUUGGGCUAAUACCGAAUACGUCCGUAAGGAGAAAGAUUUAUCGCUGAAGGAUCGGCCCGCGUCUGAUUAGCUAGUUGGUGGGGUAAUGGCCCACCAAGGCGACGAUCAGUAGCUGGUCUGAGAGGAUGAUCAGCAUCACUGGGACUGAGACACGGCCCAGACUCCUACGGGAGGCAGCAGUGGGGAAUAUUGGACAAUGGGCGCAAGCCUGAUCCAGCCAUGCCGCGUGGAUGAUGAAGGCCCUAGGGUUGUAAAGUCCUUUCGGCGGGGAAGAUAAUGACGGUACCCGCAGAAGAAGCCCCGGCUAACUUCGUGCCAGCAGCCGCGGUAAUACGAAGGGGGCUAGCGUUGCUCGGAAUCACUGGGCGUAAAGCGCACGUAGGCGGACUCUUAAGUCGGUGGUGAAAUCCUGGAGCUCAA